GAUGUUACCAAAUCAUUAGAUUUUACUUAUAAAGUGGUUCAUCAAAUUUUCAUAUAUUAGAUAUAAAGGCAGAAAAAUAUGGCUCAAAUUCAAAAAUUUGUUUAUACUUUGAUAAUGUUUCUUUCUCUUUUUGUCAUGGUAACCAAUGGCAUGGUAAGUACCAACGCAUAUAUUCAUAGGUGCAUACAUCAAGAUGAUUGUCCAAAAUAUAUGUGUGAAAUUUCUGUGCUUCCGGAGUGCAUUAAUGGUUUUUGUACAUGCGUGUAACUGCAAACUUUUUACUUUAAUAAUUUCCUCGCACUUUAAUUUAUGUUUCUUUUAGCUCUAAAUUUCUAUCACAAAAUCAACAAUGUAUUAUAAUAACUUAGUUAUAAGAUUAUAAUACAUUUUAUGUACCUAUAUUAUAAUUACUUUGUUAUAAGAUUAUAAUAUAUUUUAUGUAAUAAUGUUGGUACCAUAAGAAUUUUCCUUCCACUUUUAUUAUGUUUCUCUUA